AGUCGAGGGGCAUCGGGAUUGAAGCUUGCUUCAAUUGCCGGCGACCGGCGCACGGGUGCGUAACGCGUACGUAACCUACCUAUAACAGGGGCAUAACACUGAGAAAUUGGUACUAAUUCCCCAUAAUAUUCGGAGAGGCAUCUCUCCGGGUUGAAAACUCCGGUGGUUAUAGAUGGACAUGCGUUGUAUUAGCUAGUUGGUGAGGUAACGGCUCACCAAGGCAACGAUACAUAGGGGGACUGAGAGGUUAACCCCCCACACUGGUACUGAGACACGGACCAGACUCCUACGGGAGGCAGCAGUGAGGAAUAUUGGUCAAUGGACGCAAGUCUGAACCAGCCAUGCCGCGUGCAGGAAGACGGCUCUAUGAGUUGUAAACUGCUUUUGUACGAGGGUAAACUCACCUACGUGUAGGUGACUGAAAGUAUCGUACGAAUAAGGAUCGGCUAACUCCGUGCCAGCAGCCGCGGUAAUACGGAGGAUUCAAGCGUUAUCCGGAUUUAUUGGGUUUAAAGGGUGCGUAGGCGGUUUGAUAAGUUAGAGGUGAAAUCCCGGGGCUUAACUCCGGAACUGCCUCUAAUACUGUUAGACUAGAGAGUAGUUGCGGUAGGCGGAAUGUAUGGUGUAGCGGUGAAAUGCUUAGAGAUCAUACAGAACACCGAUUGCGAAGGCAGCUUACCAAACUAUAUCUGACGUUGAGGC
rnacentral:rRNA from 1 species